AAUCUUCGAAGUUAAAUAAGCAUUGGCCUUUUUUAAAUGAAGCUAAAUGCCAUGGUUGCAUGUAACAAUAAAUCUCAAACUAGCCAAUGAGGGAAUGAUGCCCUGCUGAGAGAAAGACAACUAUGUACAGACCCAGUAUGAUGUCAUGGGAAAUGUGUUGUCUUCUAGGUGUCUGUAUCCAGAAUGUAGCAGAGAGGUUAUUGACACUGUUCAAAGCCAAUUCUUUUCUUUUGAUUUAUAUGAGUAGAAAUCACAGACCAGAAGAAAGCAUUACAAAAACCUGUGAGGUUUUAAGCAGGAAGAAACUCGGAAGAGAGGACUGCUGCUUGCUGAUCAUUAUUCCUCUUCUCCAUCACCAGCUCCAUGCAGGAUAAACUGGAAUGUUCUUUUGACGUUGGCUAUGGAAAACCUACGGCAGAUGACAAUAGAUAGCUGAGCCACAGUAGGUCUCAGGAAAGCUAGGCAAGUAGCAUCUGGAUGAAACUUGAAUGGGUGACAACGAGGAAAUCCCAGACAAGCUGGAAAGUUGAAAUUGCAUCGCAAAAGAAGGCAGUGCCAAACCACUUCCAUGCUGUUGCCAAGAAAAUUGCACGGAUGUGUUGAUGAACUGGCUAGGAAAAAGUGUUUACCAAAAUAAGUAUUUGGUUCUGGGAAUUUACAAGAAGCGUUGAAAUUAUAUAACAACAAAAACCACAUCGCUUCUGCACUCGAUAUCGAACCCACACUCCCACAUCAUUUAAACUGUGUAUCAGGUUCGGGGGGUGGGGGGAGGAUGAGAAGAGCUCCAAUUCAAAAUUAGUUUAUAACAUAUGCAUGUCCAUUCUUGGUUUAGUUUGUAUGGUUUGUUUUUAAGUCUGAGAACUAUCAACUGAGUAAUCUCAAAGCUCAUUUCCAUGAUGUGGUUUCACUGCUCACUAUUGCAAAGCAUGUUUUAAAAGUCCUCCAGCACUUGGAUGUCUGAUCUCAUUGAAAGGCCUUGAAAUGAUUUAGUUUUCAGCACUUUUUUUAAAAAAAAAGAUGUCCUUGGAUUUUGUUAGUAUGUUUAAUUUUUUCCCAGCUGUAAAUUAUUAUUUUAGAAAAUCUAAUCCAAAAGUAUUGGAAAAGAAAACUUAGCUUCGCUUUUUGCAUUGGCUGCAUGUUUCCCUGACACGAAGUGCAUAUUAUUUCUAUUUAAAGAAUAUUCCCUUCUUUUCUUUUGUAUGUACUACUCAUCUAUGAAUAUCAUGAUCAGCUUUAAAAUGACCCACUGGUGAAUAUUUCCAUUUGCACCUGUUGGUUCCUCACCUGACUGGUGCAGCUAAAAGACAGUCAUUCUACCAUAAUGUCUGCGGAAAGCUCUAUUGUUUGUUUGAGUUGUAUAAAUUGUGAUCUCAGAAGCACAUUCAGAUCCGCAAUGUCAUAGGUGGGGCCCCUUCAAAGAUUAUUUCCAAACUAAUUUUUGAGAUAAUAGAAAUGGAAAGUUAUUGAAUAAUUAUAGUAAUUGUAUUUAAGUAGAUUCAAUGUGAAUGAGAAAUAAAUAUUAAAUUUUUUUGUCUUA